CUACGGGGUGCACCAGUGGGGAAUAUUGGACAAUGGGGGAAACCCUGAUCCAGCAAUGCCGCGUGUGUGAAGAAGGCCUGCGGGUUGUAAAGCACUUUCGGUUGGGAGGACUGCUUCUAGCACUAAUAUUGUUGGAAGUUGACGUUACCUUCAGAAGAAGCACCGGCUAACUCCGUGCCAGCAGCCGCGGUAAUACAGAGGGUGCAAGCGUUAAUCGGAAUUACUGGGCGUAAAGCGCGCGUAGGCGGCUAGAUCAGUCGGGUGUGAAAGCCCCGGGCUUAACCUGGGAACUGCAUCCGAUACUGUCUAGCUUGAGUACAGGAGAGGAGAGUGGAAUUCCACAUGUAGCGGUGAAAUGCGUAGACAUGUGGAGGAACACCAAUGGCGAAGUCAGCUCUCUGGCCUGAUACUGACGCUGAGGUGCGAAAGCGUGGGGAGCAAACAGGAUUAGAUACCCUCGUAGUC
rnacentral:rRNA from 1 species